GCGUGACUAUUUCCUGUAAGUGAACUCUGUGCUGAUUCAGGGUUUAAUUUGACACACCGAUGUUGUAGUGACGUAAACGUGUAUCCUGCUGUAAUCUGGAGACGGAGACAUGACCUCCAACAUGAGUGUGUCUGGAAAACAGGACUUAAAGAAAGACAAGAGAAUGAAGGAGGGAAAGAGAUCAGACUCACCAGAACCCAGCUGUGUGUCCAUGAAGAGUGACGAGUCAAUGGAUCAUCCCAUACACUUCAGAGCCAGAGACAGUUCUACUGAUGUGAGACCACAAAAAUCAAACAUCAGCAGAAAUCAGCUGGACUCUAUAUUCAAGGUGUGUGUGUUGUUUUUAAAGUGUGUAAUGUGUGUGUUGUGUUUAAAGUGUGUAAUGUGUGUGUUGUGUUUAAAGUGUGUAAUGAAUAAGAAAGCUGUCCAGAUAUAAGAAAACUAGAAUCAAUAGACUGUGACUCCUACAAAGUGGUGUUGAUCUUUGAUGGUCUGGAUGAGUGUCGACUUCCUCUAAAUUUCCAGAAGAAUAAGAUAUUGUGUGA